UUAACAUGGGAACUGCAUUUGAAACUGGCAAGCUAGAGUCUCGUAGAGGGGGGUAGAAUUCCAGGUGUAGCGGUGAAAUGCGUAGAGAUCUGGAGGAAUACCGGUGGCGAAGGCGGCCCCCUGGACGAAGACUGACGCUCAGGUGCGAAAGCGUGGGGAGCAAACAGGAUUGGAUACCCUGGUAGUCCACGCUGUAAACGAUGUCGAUUUGGAGGUUGUGCCCUUGAGGCGUGGCUUCCGGAGCUAACGCGUUAAAUCGACCGCCUGGGGAGUACGGCCGCAAGGUUAAAACUCAAAUGAAUUGACGGGGGCCCGCACAAGCGGUGGAGCAUGUGGUUUAAUUCGAUGCAACGCGAAGAACCUUACCUACUCUUGACAUCCAGAGAACUUUCCAGGGAUGGAAGGGUGCCUUCGGGAACUCUGAGACAGGUGCCGCAUGGCUGUCGUCAGCUCGUGUUGUGAAAUGUUGGGUUAAGUCCCGCAACGAGCGCAACCCUUAUCCUUUGUUGCCAGCGGUUCGGCCGGGAACUCAAAGGAGACUGCCAGUGAUGAACUGGAGGAAGGUGGGGAUGACGUCAAGUCAUCAUGGCCCUUA
rnacentral:rRNA from 1 species